UACGGAGGGAGCUAGCGUUGUUCGGAAUUACUGGGCGUAAAGCGCGCGUAGGCGGCUUGGCAAGUAGAGGGUGAAAUCCCGGAGCUUAACUCCGGAACUGCCUCCUAAACUGCUGAGCUAGAAUCCUGGAGAGGUGAGUGGAAUUCCUAGUGUAGAGGUGAAAUUCGUAGAUAUUAGGAAGAACACCAGUGGCGAAGGCG
rnacentral:rRNA from 1 species